rnacentral:lncRNA from 1 species
GGAGGGAGGAGGGCCGCAUGGAGGUGUCGCUCAUCGCAGUAUAGGCAGCCGGCAGCCUGGGCUCUGGGUCCUCCAUGUUAUCUGAGGAAUGGGUAGGGGGAAAGUGUUGACACACAGCCCAGGAGAUGCCCUUCUCACAUACCUGGUGGGGUCUGUCUGUCUGUCGGAGACAGAGGAAUCCCAAGUCCUCCUGUCCUGACCUUCUGAUUAUAGGUGAUCCUUGGCGGGGGCUGCAUAUUCAUGUUUUCUAAGGGGACACCAGACCCUGAGUACUCAGGCAACAGCACUCAGUUCAGAAGCAGGAUGGAUGGACAGAAUCUGGUACAGAAGUGGCUGGCAAAACACCAGGUGACAGAGAUACCAGGGGGCCCAAUAUGUUUGGAACCAUAAGGAGCUCAUUCAGGCAUCACAGGACGCAGCAGUGACUCACCUCAUGGGCCUCUUUGAACCUAACGACAUGAAAUAUGACAUUCACCAAGACCCUGCUCAAGACCCUUCCCUGGCCGAGAUGAUGGAGGACUGGUGGCCCCUUCAAUGCUCUGGAUGGCAGAUCUUUUACCUCAAUCCUAUAUGGCAAUGGUCCCGGCUAUAAACUUCAGAAAGGUGACCCCAAGUACCGGCAGCAGACGGCUGUACCCCUGUCAUCAGUAACCCACAGCGGGGAGGACGUGGCAAUAUUCGCUCGUGGCCCACAGGCGCACCUGGUACACGGAGUUCAGGAGUAGAACUACAUCGCGCACGUCAUGGCCUUCGCAGCCUGCUUGGAGCCCUACACUGACUGCGGCCUGGUGCCCCCUGCUGGCUGGAGCAGUGCGGUUUAUUUAUUAUAUGCAAGUACACUGUAGCUGUCUUCAAACUCUCCAGAAGAGGGCAGAUCUUGUUACAUAUGGUUGUGAGCCACCAUGUGGUUGCUAGGAAUUGAACUCAGGACCUUCGGAAGAGCAGUCGGUGCUCUUAACCGGGUACUGGCUUCAGGUUUCCAGCCUCAGACAUAACUCAGAUUGCAAGUUCUGCCACUCACCAUGGGCUCUAACAACAGACCUCAGUGUUACAACCAGCUUCAACCUAACAGGAUACCCGCAGGCCAAGGAAAUGCCACGCUGGUGUCUGUCACUGAUGUCGGCUGCCAGAGAAUGUCACACCAUGCAUUCAGUCACAGCUCAGCCUAUGCCUGAGGACCACAAAGGCACUUGGUGUCCCCAUAGGACAAGGACUGAACAAGAGUGGGCUGGCUUCUCUUGCCUUCAGUGUCCACAGCACACCCAACAGAGCCUGGAGAGGUUGAUGUAGCCAAGGCUCUUUGACAGUCCUCAGCUCCCACCAGUGGCCUCAAACUCAUGAUCCUCCUGCCACAACCUCCCAGGUGCUAUAAUUACACACAUGUGCCUCUGGGCCCGGCUUGCACAUUAAUGUCCAAGCAAAGUAUGCUUCCGUCAUUCUCCUGGGAGAUUUUGCAAUAAUAAAAUGAACUAUGACACAGCAUAACGCCAGCAGUGCUUUGCUGAAAGAAAGACUGAAUGUUCGGGUUGAGGCAGAGUGAGAGACAGAGACCAGGUGAGGGAGAGGUGCAGGCAUUGGAAGUGCAUUGGAAAAUUCAGACAUGAGAAGCCCUGUACGGAGUACAGGAUGCUUCAUGGUUUCCAGGUUCCACCUCCUGGAGUGAGCUUCAAGUUUGCAAGGGUCAAAUAACGUAACCACACACAGCUCAGUUCUUGCCUAAGGCCCCACCCCUGAGCUGGCUGCAGAGGUAGAGCAGGUAACAUGCUAAAGCCAAAGUAUUAAAAGCCCCGGUCACACAGAAGAACGUUGUACUGGCUGGUUUUGUGUGUCAACUUGACACCAGCUGGAGUUUUCACAGAGAAGGGAGCCUCCCUUGAGGAAAUGCCUCCAUGAGAUUCAGCUGUAAGGUUUUGUCUCAAUUAGUGAUCAAGGGGAGGGCCCAGCCCACUGUGGGUGGUGCCAUCCCUGGGCUGGUAGUCCUGGGUUCUAUAAGAAAGCAGGCUGAGAAAGCCAGGGGAAGCAAGCCAGCAAGUAACAUCCCUCCAUGGCCUCUGCAUCAGCUCCCGUUUCCUGACCUGCUUGAAUUCCAGUCCUGCAUCCUUUGGUGAUGAAUAGCAGUGUGGAAAGUGUAAGCUGAAUAAACUCUUUCCUCCUCAAC